rnacentral:lncRNA from 1 species
GUGAUUUUGUUUUGUCUCAGGGUUGGCCUCUGAAGACUCCUAGGAGAGGAGGAUUCACUAUGGAGGGGAGCCUUGAAGGAUUCAUUGAUUUCACAGGCUGAGGCAUAGCCUGUUCCUGCAAAUGUGGAGAAGACUGUGAAUACUCAAUUUAAAAAAAUCAUUUUAAAAUUGUGAGAGUACAAUUUUAAAUUCUGGGACCUGAGUUUGAUCCCCAAAACCCAAAACCACUGUAAAACUAAAUACCAAUGUGGUGGUGUGCACUUAUAACCUCAGUGCUGUGGGAACAGCAGAAACAACUGGAUUACUGGGGCUCAUUGACCAGCCUUGUGCCCACAACACUGAGCAGGGAAGCAGGCUCCAGAUCUGGCUGAGACUUCAACAGGGCCCAUCAAUAUUGUUGACCCAGUAAUCCAGCUCCCUGGGACUCCCCAAAGGCCUGGGAUUAAAGCCAAGACUCAGACUCAGCCUGCCAGGAAGUACUGUUGUCAUCAUUACCAGCCCUCAGGAUGCACAAGCCAAUCCUCUCAGCUUCUCUCCUUGCUGCCUUCUGAGGACUCCAGGGAUAAAGACUUUGUGCCAGAUGGUCUCACCUUAGGCUCUGUGAAGGCAGCUCUUACAGCACCAAUGAGCUUUGAAAGAAGUGCCCAUUUCUAUGCCAGCAUAUCACAGGAGAGUAGGAAGUUUGUCAGAAUCACAAGCAGUCUCUCGUCUAGAAUGCAAGAUACACUACAAUGUUUUUUAGGACCCUGCCUGUGCACCCCAAGGCUCCUCGGGGGUGAUUAAAACCAUGCCCCAUCCCAGUGUGGAUGACUUCAGUAGCUCUUUUGCUAGAGUUUUUAAAGCAUUCUAUCAUCAUAUGUGGAGAAGAUGAAGCUUGGCGUGGAUGGAGGAAGCUUGCUUUCGAAUUCCUGGAAUCAAUCAUCCUUAGUUCAGAGCUGCUCGUGUUGGUUGGCCCGAAGUGUUCCCUAGAAAUUUCAUCUUCUCUCCAACAGAUGAGGCUCCAUUUCUUGGCCAAAUUUAGCAACCAGAAGAAACUACAUCCACUUUGAGACCAUAAGGAGUGGUUUCACUAAAAGACAUCUUAGCUGACAUGGGGGAAUUUAGGCAACAGACGACCCAGGAACAUUUUAAGCUUUCUGCAAUUUUCUAGAAGCUUACUAACUAAACACAGUAAAAUGAACCCACAUCUUCAAUUAAAUGUAAAACUUUAAUAAAAUUGAAGUUUUAAAAAUAGUUUUUCUUGGGUAUGGGGGACUUUUGGGAUAGUAUUGGAAAUGUAAAUGAGGA